UAAAAGGCAAUCACAGUAGCUGAGGAGAGAGAAUGGUGACUUAAACUGUGGUAGUGAGAGUGAAAUUUUAUAUAAGUGGAAGGAUUGGAGAGCGAUUAAGGAGAUUGAGUCAGCUUUUAGGAGAUUGAGUCUGCUUUAUUAUUUCUACUGCAUAGGUCUCUACAAUGAUAAAAAAUUCAGAUAUGGCUUUCUCUUCAGUAUAUCUUGUCCAAUGACUUCUGUUAAAGCCAUACAGGUUACUAUGACUGAGUUUGUGAAAGAAAUGUAAGAUCAAAGACGAGAGGAUGACUGGACUGUCUGAAUUCACAUCAGUCCCUGGGUGCCAGAAAAACCAGUUUUGAGGAAGAUGUUUCUACUUGUUAUGCAGUCAAUGAAAGCCAUCAAACACAACCAUGGCAACCACUGUCAGAAGCUGACCUUAAUAAGCAAAAGCAUUGAUAUUAACUCAGUUUCUAUGGUUAUAUUAAAAAUAAAUAUUUCUCUAAGAUUUACAA
ensembl:lncRNA